GGAUGUGAGGGCGAUCUGGCUGCAACAGCUGUCACCGCAUUGAUCUCCAGGGUUGAUUAGGCUGAUCUGGCUGGCGAGGGGGGCGUCCCCUUCCUCCAUGGGCAUCCCUCCCAAAGCUGCAUGCUCAGUCAAAGAGGACAACCUUCCUGGACAGAGGAGGACAGAUCUUUGUUCCUCAAUCAAGGGCAUAUGAGUAGCUGCACUCCCCUGCUAUAACCUCCAAACAAGCUCUCAAGGAAUGGACUUUUCAGACUUCAAUCCAGACCCACCUAGCCAGAAACUAUGGAGGUGGGGCCACACAGCCUACAUUUUAAC
rfam:Felis catus isolate Cinnamon breed Abyssinian chromosome B1, whole genome shotgun sequence.